rnacentral:misc_RNA from 1 species
UGCGCAGUGCUAAGUUAAACUUUUUAUAUUUCAAAAAGGCUGGUGAAACGUGUUUAUAAGUAUUCAAGUAUUUCUUCUGUAAUAGAAUAUUGUACUUGUUUGCGAUACAAUUGUUUGUCGCUUUCUUCAUAAGUAAGCAUAAUCUUUCUUGACAAAUAAUCUCGUACAUGGCAAUGAAUUAGUGUUAUUAAUGUGGCAUUCGUAUUUGGUUAAUCUGGAAUCUUUGGUUAAUCGUGCUUCAUAUAUACAAAGUAUGUUUUAAGUCUCUGUAGAUGAUGCCCAGUGAAUGAAGGUGUUGAAGUCCUUCUACGACACAGCCGGUUAUAAAUCUAGUUGUUGAAUUAUCGAAUCGGCCGUUUCUGUAUAAGGCUGUUCUUAAAUCUCCGCCUAAACAUACUUCCAGUAGCAGGAGUUGGCUCAGAGAGUGGCGUUGGAGUUUUGCCGAUAAUACCGCCUCUGGGAUUCGCAGGUUGAUCAGAACCAUCCGAAGUUCUGACAGAAUCUUGAUCGUUCUCAUUGUGAUUUUGUUGUGGUGGCAAUGGUGCCCUACUUUUUCCAUGGGACUGUACAGGUGGGCCGAUUCCAUUAGAUAUUACCGUAGCACCAGUUCCCACAUAUGCAUACGUGCAGCAAUCAGGCCAACUGUGGCUGUUUCUUUCGGGACGACUAGCGAGAGAAUCAUACGACAUAAAACUAUGGUGCAGUCCUUGUCUGGAAAAUGUUCAAACUUACUAAGGUCGUACUGUUCACAUUGUUCGACUCAUUCCCAGACAGAGAGACAAGAUUGAUACUGCCCCUCUGUCCCAGGAUACUUGGCUUCGGGAAGCACGAGAACUUCAUACUUUGUUCAUCCACAGCAUGACGGAAACACACUCUUUUAACUUCUGAAAGAUGUUUUGCCGAGAUCUACUAUCGAGAUCGUCGACUCCCGUAAAAGCUACCGUCAAACAAAAAGUUUUUACGCCAGACGAUCACGAGCACGUGGUUUAGCUGAUCACAUGCUUAUGCUAAUGAUCUUUGAUGCACGAUACAUCGUAUGCUGACGUCACGACAUAUUAGCACAUUCUCACGAUGUGGAUAUUCUCGUUUCAAG